rnacentral:rRNA from 1 species
UACAGAGGGGGCAAGCGUUAUUCGGAAUUAUUGGGCGUAAAGGGCGCGUAGGCGGCUUGGCAAGUGGAUGGUGAAAUCCCUCGGCUUAACCGAGGAACUGCCGUCCAAACUGCUUCGCUUGAGACCGGGAGAGGUGAGUGGAAUUCCCAGUGUAGCGGUGAAAUGCGUAGAUAUCUGAAGGAACAUCAGUGGCGAAAGCGACUUCCUGGACCAAUACUGACGCUCAUGUGCGAAAGCGUGGGGAGCAAACAGG